rnacentral:rRNA from 1 species
UACGGAGGGGGCUAGCGUUGUUCGGAAUUACUGGGCGUAAAGCGCACGUAGGCGGCUUUGCAAGUUAGAGGUGAAAGCCCGGGGCUCAACUCCGGAAUUGCCUUUAAAACUGCAUCGCUAGAAUUGUGGAGAGGUAAGUGGAAUUCCGAGUGUAGAGGUGAAAUUCGUAGAUAUUCGGAAGAACACCAGUGGCGAAGGCGGCUCUCUGGACCACAACUGACGCUGAGGCGCGAAAGCGUGGGGAGCAAACAGG